AAAAACAGGAGCGGAGCAGCGGGAACCAUCAGUUGUUGAACUGCGUACUGCAAUGUCGGAUGUGAUGGAAUCGAACCCACUGCCAGCGUAUAGAAAAGCCGGUUUCCCUCAAAAAAACAAAGUUCCCCCACACGCGAGGGAAGAGAAAAAUGCACUUACUCCAUCUUCAGAUCAAGACCUUCGUUGUCUCGCAACAGCACCAGCAGAGAGUAGGCAAACUAAAUAUUCGAAUCAGCAGGCGGACCAAAUUUAUUGAUGAUGGAGCAGCGCAAAUAAAACUCUACAACCUAUUUUUACGGUGCGUUUCUUUGGAAUAACGCAGGAGGUGGAGCCAGCGCUUGGUCAAUUCAGGUUAUGUACUUCCAAAGGCGUGUCCGACAAACUGGUCACCGAAAAUGUGAAGCAUUGAGAAAUUCUGGAUUACCCCCUUUUCAACAGCGGAUGUUGUUCGGUGCUUUCCAGUGUGUUGCAGAUCUGGCAUAGAACAUGCAAUCGAUUGAUUACAUCCGGCGGCACCUGUCUCCAUCCGAUUUUCCUCCAUCUUAGGAAACCCGUUUUCCCGAAGCUACCGAUAUUUCAGUUUCCCGCCAACAAACAUGAAGAAACGAGUCAAAAACAAAAAAAAAUUUAUAUAUACACCUCUGAUUGGAUAUAAAUAAAAAUUCAAUAAUUAA